rnacentral:rRNA from 1 species
GACGAACGCUGGCGGCGUGCUUAACACAUGCAAGUCGAACGGAAAGGCCCUGCUUUUGUGGGGUGCUCGAGUGGCGAACGGGUGAGUAACACGUGAGUAACCUGCCCUUGACUUUGGGAUAACUUCAGGAAACUGGGGCUAAUACCGGAUAGGAGCUCCCGCUGCAUGGUGGGGGUUGGAAAGUUUCGGCGGUUGGGGAUGGACUCGCGGCUUAUCAGCUUGUUGGUGGGGUAGUGGCUUACCAAGGCUUUGACGGGUAGCCGGCCUGAGAGGGUGACCGGCCACAUUGGGACUGAGAUACGGCCCAGACUCCUACGGGAGGCAGCAGUGGGGAAUAUUGCACAAUGGGCGGAAGACUGAUGCAGCAACGCCGCGUGCGGGAUGACGGCCUUCGGGUUGUAAACCGCUUUCGCCUGUGACGAAGCGUGAGUGACGGUAAUGGGUAAAGAAGCACCGGCUAACUACGUG